AUCCAGCUGACGAGUCCCAAAUAGGACGAAAUGCGCUUUGUCCGGGAU
rfam:Schistosoma mansoni strain Puerto Rico chromosome 3, complete genome